rnacentral:rRNA from 1 species
GAUCCUGGCUCAGGAUGAACGCUAGCUACAGGCUUAACACAUGCAAGUCGAGGGGCAUCAGGAAGAAAGCUUGCUUUCUUUGCUGGCGACCGGCGCACGGGUGAGUAACACGUAUCCAACCUGCCCUUUACUCGGGGAUAGCCUUUCGAAAGAAAGAUUAAUACCCGAUGGCAUAAUGAUUCCGCAUGGUUUCAUUAUUAAAGGAUUCCGGUAAAGGAUGGGGAUGCGUUCCAUUAGGUUGUUGGUGAAGGG